ACGGGUGAGGAAUGCGUCGGAAUCUGCCUAUUUGUGGGGGAUAACGUAGGGAAACUUACGCUAAUACCGCAUACGACCUACGGGUGAAAGUGGGGGACCGCAAGGCCUCACGCAGAUAGAUGAGCCGACGCCGGAUUAGCUAGUUGGCGGGGUAAAGGCCCACCAAGGCGACGAUCCGUAGCUGGUCUGAGAGGAUGAUCAGCCACACUGGAACUGAGACACGGUCCAGACUCCUACGGGAGGCAGCAGUGGGGAAUAUUGGACAAUGGGCGCAAGCCUGAUCCAGCCAUGCCGCGUGUGUGAAGAAGGCCUUCGGGUUGUAAAGCACUUUUGUCCGGAAAGAAAACCUUUCGAUUAAUACUCGGAGGGAAUGACGGUACCGGAAGAAUAAGCACCGGCUAACUUCGUGCCAGCAGCCGCGGUAAUACGAAGGGUGCAAGCGUUACUCGGAAUUACUGGGCGUAAAGCGUGCGUAGGUGGUUUGUUAAGUCUGAUGUGAAAGCCCUGGGCUCAACCUGGGAACUGCAUUGGAAACUG
rnacentral:rRNA from 1 species